rnacentral:rRNA from 1 species
AAACACGGACCAAGGAGUCUGACAUGUGCGCGAGUCGUCGGGGCCCACGAACCCCGGAGGCGCAAUGAAAGUGUGAGAGAGGGAGGAAGGCGGUUCCCCGCGCGAGCGCGGGCCGCCCGCACUCCCGGGGCGUCUCGUUCCCGGCGGCUCUCGGGCCGCCCGGGUUGAGGCGCACCCGGAGCGUACACGUCGGUACCCGAAAGAUGGUGAACUAUGCCUGGCCAGGACGAAGUCAGGGGAAACCCUGAUGGAGGUCCGUAGCGAUUCUGACGUGCAAAUCGAUCGUCGGAGCUGGGUAUAGGGGCGAAAGACUAAUCGAACC